rnacentral:rRNA from 1 species
GACGAACCGUGCGAACGUUAUUCGGAAUCACUGGGCUUAAAGCGCGUGUAGGCGGGACGGCACGUCGGUCGCUGAAAUCCCCCGGCUCAACCGGGGAACGGGCGCCGAUACGACCGUCCUGGAGGGACGUAGGGGACCUGGAACUUCCGGUGGAGCGGUGAAAUGCGUUGAGAUCGGAAGGAACGCCCGUGGCGAAAGCGAGGUCCUGGACGUCUGCUGACGCUGAGACGCGAAAGCCAGGGGAGCGAACGGG